AAAGUCAACUUUUAAUUACGCCAAAUCACAACAACAGUUAACACAUGUGUGCACUUGCUACUCCUCCAACUGCCCUACUUUUUCUUUCUUUCCUUGUACUACUGCUCCUAUUAUUGCUCCUACUACUGUUCCUGCUACUCCUGUUCCUACUGCUGCUACUACUACUCCUGCUGCUACUACUACUCCUGCUGCUACUACUCCUCCUGCUGCUAUUAUUCCUUUUGCUGCUACUACUACUCCUGCUACUACUACUCUUCCUGCUGCUAUUAUUCCUUUUGCUGCUACUACUACUCCUGCUACUACUACUCCUCCUGCUGCUAUUAUUCCUUUUGCUGCUGCUACUCCUGCUGCUACUGCUGCUACUACUCCGUCUGCUGCUGCUACUCCUCCUGCUGCUGCUACUCCUCCUGC